rnacentral:rRNA from 1 species
UACGAAGGGGGCUAGCGUUGCUCGGAAUCACUGGGCGUAAAGGGUGCGUAGGCGGGUCUUUAAGUCAGGGGUGAAAUCCUGGAGCUCAACUCCAGAACUGCCUUUGAUACUGAGGAUCUUGAGUACGGGAGAGGUGAGUGAAACUGCGAGUGUAGAGGUGAAAAUUCGUAGAUAUUCGCAAGAACACCAGUGGCGAAGGCGGCUCACUGGCCCGAUACUGACGCUGAGGCACGAAAGCGUGGGGAGCAAACAGG